rnacentral:rRNA from 1 species
GAUGAACGCUAGCGGCAGGCCUAACACAUGCAAGUUGAGGGGUAACAGGAAAAAGCUUGCUUUUUUGCUGACGACCGGCGAACGGGUGCGUAACGCGUAUGCAACCUACCCUUUACUGGGAGAUAACUUCGAGAAAUCGGCGCUAAUAUCCCAUAAUAUUCGAUCUAGGCAUCUAGAAUGAAUUAAAGUUCCGGCGGUAAAGGAUGGGCAUGCGUUCUAUUAGCUAGUUGGUGAGGUAACGGCUCACCAAGGCUUCGAUAGAUAGGGGUCCUGAGAGGGUGAUCCCCCACACUGGUACUGAGACACGGACCAGACUCCUACGGGAGGCAGCAGUGAGGAAUAUUGGUCAAUGGUCGGAAGACUGAACCAGCCAUGCCGCGUGAAGGAAGAAGGAUCUAUGGUUUGUAAACUUCUUUUAUUUGGGAAUAAACCUCUCUACGUGUAGAGAGCUGAAGGUACCAAAUGAAUAAGCACCGGCUAACUCCGUGCCAGCAGCCGCGGUAAUACGGAGGGUGCAAGCGUUAUCCGGAAUCAUUGGGUUUAAAGGGUCCGCAGGCGGGAAUGUAAGCCAGAGGUGAAAUCCUACAGCUCAACUGUAGAACUGCCUUUGAUACUGCGUUUCUUGAAUUCGAUCGAAGUGGGCGGAAUAUGACAUGUAGCGGUGAAAUGCAUAGAUAUGUCAUAGAACACCGAUAGCGAAGGCAGCUCACUAGGUCUGAAUUGACGCUCAUGGACGAAAGCGUGGGGAGCAAACAGGAUUAGAUACCCUGGUAGUCCACGCCGUAAACUAUGAUUACUCGUUAUUGGCGAUAUACAGUCAGUGACUAAGCGAAAGUGAUAAGUAAUCCACCUGGGGAGUACGAUCGCAAGGUUG